UUUCCGUAGGUGAACCUGCGGAAGGAUCAUUAAUGCGUUGUCAUGGGGUUCGAGGCUGGCAGCCAAUUUUUGGAUGCCUGUGCUUGCCCUAACAAUCAUCUUCCAAACACCUGUGCACAUUUUUGAGGGAGUCUUGAGUUGGUUGCCGCUCUUGGGUGAUUUUCUCACAUUCCCUUAAAUCAUUAUACGCUAUUAACAAUGUUGAACGUGCUCUGUGCCGCAAGGCUAUUAAUAUAAUACAACUUUUAACAACGGAUCUCUUGGCUCUC
rnacentral:misc_RNA from 1 species